UCUGAUCCCCACUCUGGCUGCUGCCGGCCCGGCUCUGCUGGGCUGUGAAACCCUUUGGAUGCUUUUGGAGCCCGACGCCAGGGGAUGAUUUCACUGCGCUGUUUGACUCACAGGCAGCUCGGUUUGGAAGCUGCGGUGGUUGGGGGGUUUUGUGUGCGUGUGCUUUUUGUGUGAGCGUGAGUAAGAGCUCACGCCGCUCCUGCGUUUCCCAUCUGGGCCCUGUUUGGAAUCCAAGGUGGAUUUUUCUCUCGGCCGUUGUUGCUGUUAUUCCCUGUCUCUUAAAGGAAACUGGUGGUGACGAAGGAAAAGGAGAAGAAGGUGGGGCUGUACACCAUCUUCGUGAACCCAGCCAACACCUACCAGUUUGCUGUGGGAGGCAGAGAUCAGUUUGUGAGGAUCUACGACCAGCGGAAGAUCGACGAGAACGAGAACAACGGCGUGCUGAAGAAGUUCUGCCCCCACCACCUGGUAAACAGCGAGUCCAAAGCAAACAUCACCUGCCUGGUGUACAGCCAUGAUGGCUCUGAGCUGCUGGCCAGUUACAACGACGAGGACAUUUAUCUGUUCAACUCCUCGCACAGCGACGGCGCUGAGUACAUCAAGAGAUACAAAGGGCAUCGCAACAACGC